CCUUUGGACUGCUAUACCAAACGGGAGUAGGUUACGAAACCGGGCAGGAUGAAUAAGGAA
rnacentral:sRNA from 12 species